GAUGAACGCUGGCGGCGUGCCUAAUACAUGCAAGUCGAGCGAAUGGAUUAAGAGCUUGCUCUUAUGAAGUUAGCGGCGGACGGGUGAGUAACACGUGGGUAACCUGCCCAUAAGACUGGGAUAACUCCGGGAAACCGGGGCUAAUACCGGAUAACAUUUUGAACCGCAUGGUUCGAAAUUGAAAGGCGGCUUCGGCUGUCACUUAUGGAUGGACCCGCGUCGCAUUAGCUAGUUGGGGGGGUAGCGGCCCACCAAGGCAACAAUGCGUAGCCGACCUGAGAGGGUGAUCCGCCACACUGGGACUGAGACACGGCCCAGACUCCUACGGGAGGCAGCAGUAGGGAAUCUUCCGCAAUGGACGAAAGUCUGACGGAGCAACGCCGCGUGAGUGAUGUAGGCUUUCGGGUCGUAAAACUCUGUUGUUAGGGAAGAACAAGUGCUAGUUGAAUAAGCUGGCACCUUGACGGUACCUAACCAGAAAGCCACGGCUAACCACGUGCCAGCCGCCGCGGUAA
rnacentral:rRNA from 1 species